AAAGAAUUACAACUUAAAAAAUAAGUAUACAAAGUCAUAAGGUUUAGAAAUACAUUUCCAUAUUUUAAUCAGAGAACAAUAUUGUCUUAGAAAGAAAACAUUGAUUAUGCUGAAAAAUUUACUGGAGAGCUUGAACAAGAGGAAAAAUCCAUUUUAAGUUAGUGGAAAACUGUUGAUUUGUAUGUAAAAUAAAAGACAAAGACACGUUUAAAUAAAGACAAUCUAGCUAAUGAAACAGAUGCAGUGUUACAGAUAUGACAAACAUCUAGCUAGAAGAUGGAAUCCUGCGUUCUUAAAAUAAAAAAAGCUAGUUCCAGAAGUAAGCUACCAAUAAUAAACUAGAGAAUGUAUUACAAGAAAGAACAACGCUAAUACUCAACAUAGCUCAAUUGCUUCAGAUAGAAAAAGAGGAGGAAAGGGUACAACACAAGCGUGCCAGAGAAAAUGAAAGGGCAGAAGAGAGACACAAAAUUCAUUGAUUUAUUAAAUUUACAAAUUAAAUUAUACAAAGGACAAUUAAAUAAAAAAUUAAAAAAUGA
rnacentral:lncRNA from 1 species